rnacentral:rRNA from 1 species
UGAAUACGAGAUGCUACGGCGUCGAAGCAGUCUAUGUCAUACUUCCAAGAAAAGCUUGCACUGUCAUAAACAAAUAAUGCCUGUACCAUAACCGACACAGGUGGGUAGGUAGAGUAUACUAAGGGGCGCGAGAUAACUCUCUCUAAGGAACUCGGCAAAAUGACUCCGUAACUUCGGGAGAAGGAGUGCCUUAUUUAUAAGGUUGCAAUAACAAGAUCCAAGCAACUGUUUACCAAAAACACAGGUCUCCGCUAAGUCGUAAGACGAUGUAUGGGGGCUGACGCCUGCCCAGUGCCAGAAGGUUAAAGAAGUUGGUUAGCAUCCGCGAAGCUGAUAACUGAAGCCCUGGUGAACGGCGGCCGUAACUAUAACGGUCCUAAGGUAGCGAAAUUCCUUGUCGGGUAAGUUCCGACCCGCACGAAAGGCGUAAUGAUUUGGAUACUGUCUCGGAGAGGGGCUCGGUGAAAUAGACUUGUCUGUGAAGAUGCGGACUACCUGCACCAGGACAGAAAGACCCUAUGAAGCUUUACUGUAACCUGAAAUUGAAAUUGGACUUUACUUGCGCAGUAUAGGUGGGAGGCGUUGAGAAUAUUCUUGCGGGAUUAUUGGAGCCAUCAGUGAGAUACCACUCUUGUAAUGUUAGAUUUCUAACUUUGUAUCAUUAUCUGGUCAAAGAACAGUUUCAGGCGGGCAGUUUGACUGGGGCGGUCGCCUCCUAAACGGUAACGGAGGCGCACAAAGGUUUCCUCUGAACGGGUAGAAAUCGUAUCUAGAGUGUAAAGGCAUAAGGAAGCUUGACAGUGAGACCUACAAGUCGAGCAGGGACGAAAGUCGGUCUUAGUGAUCUGACGGUGCUGAGUGGAAAGGCCGUCACUCAACGGAUAAAAGUUACUCUAGGAUAACAGGCUGAUCUCCCCCAAGAGUUCACAUCGACGGGGAGGUUUGGCACCUCGAUGUCGGCUCAUCGCAUCCUGGGGCGGUAGUACGUCCCAAGGGUUGGGCUGUUCGCCCAUGAAAGCGGUACGCGAGCUGGGUUCAGAACGUCGUGAGACAGUUCGGUCCAUAUCCGGUGUAGGCGUUAGAAUAUUGAGAGGAGCCUUCUUUAGUACGAGAGGACCGAGAAGGACAUACCUCUGGUGUACCAGUUAUCGUGCCAACGGUAAACGCUGGGUAGCUAUGUGUGGAGUGGAUAACCGCUGAAAGCAUCUAAGUGGGAAGCCCACCUCAAGAUGAUUGCUCUCACAGGGUUAACCUGGUAAGGUCACGGGAAGACCACCCGUUGAUAGGCACUCGGUGGAAGUCCAGCAAUGGAUGAA